rnacentral:rRNA from 1 species
AACGAACGCUGGCGGCAUGCCUAACACAUGCAAGUCGAACGAGACCUUCGGGUCUAGUUGCGCACGUGUGCGUAACGCGUGGGAACCUGCCCUUAGGUUCGGAAUCACUCCCCUAAAGGUGUGCUAAUACCGGUUAAUGUCUUCGGACCAAAGAUUUCUGGCCUUGGGGUGGGCCCGGGUUGGAUUCGCUAGUUGGUAGGGUAAAAGCCUACCAAGGCGACGUUCCAUAGCUGGUAGGUGAGGAUGGUAAUCAACAAUGGAGCUGAGACACGGACCAGAAUGGUACGGAGAGGAGGAGAGGGGAACAUUGGACAAGGGGGGAAAGUCUGAUCAAGCAAUGCCGGGUGAGUGAGGAAGGCCUUAGGGUUGUAAAGCUGUUUUACACGAGAUGAGAAUGACAGUACCGGGAGAAUAAGCACCGGCUAACUCCGUG